AUGGCGGAAAUUGUAGCUCAGUCCAUCCAGUUAAAGGAUGUGAAGAUGAUUAUGAUAGUACAUCCAGCUUUGAAUUUCAUAAAGGGGAGAGAUCAUCAAUGCAGCAGCAUUCAAGGUCAUUUUCACGCCCUAUGUCUUCCAAGUGGAAUGAUGCCGAGAAGUGGAUAAUCAAUAGACAACCUAAUUAUCAUUCCAACAAGAUCCAAU
rnacentral:misc_RNA from 1 species